UCCAAGAACAAUACGUUAAAAUUACACAUCCAUUACAACAUUGAACUACAAUUCUCUUUCACCCUCCUCUUUAAUACUCCUCCCCUUCCUCCUCUCCUUCACCCUCAAGAGAGUCAACUCCAACCUCUUCGUAAUCCUUCUCCAGAGCAGCCAUGUCCUCUCUGG